UAUUUGGCCAGUGUGGCUACUAAGAAAGACUGGACAUACCCUACUUGCAAUACCUUGGAUUAUCUACUUUUGCAAAUGGUAUGCCAUCAUAGGGGUAAUUCUCAUUCCUGGGCUACCAUACGCAACAAAUUUCAAUGUCAAAAAAAUGAAAUGCAAGCCUUAUAUGUGACUCUCUAACUUUCCAAAAAAACAUAAAACCUGUACAUGGGUGGUACUGUUAUUCCC